rnacentral:rRNA from 1 species
AGAUUGAACGCUGGCGGCAGGCCUAACACAUGCAAGUCGAGCGGUAGAGAGAAGCUUGCUUCUCUUGAGAGCGGCGGACGGGUGAGUAAUGCCUAGGAAUCUGCCUGGUAGUGGGGGAUAACGUUCGGAAACGGACGCUAAUACCGCAUACGUCCUACGGGAGAAAGCAGGGGACCUUCGGGCCUUGCGCUAUCAGAUGAGCCUAGGUCGGAUUAGCUAGUUGGUGAGGUAAUGGCUCACCAAGGCGACGAUCCGUAACUGGUCUGAGAGGAUGAUCAGUCACACUGGAACUGAGACACGGUCCAGACUCCUACGGGAGGCAGCAGUGGGGAAUAUUGGACAAUGGGCGAAAGCCUGAUCCAGCCAUGCCGCGUGUGUGAAGAAGGUCUUCGGAUUGUAAAGCACUUUAAGUUGGGAGGAAGGGCAGUUACCUAAUACGUGAUUGUUUUGACGUUACCGACAGAAUAAGCACCGGCUAACUCUGUGCCAGCAGCCGCGGUAAUACAGAGGGUGCAAGCGUUAAUCGGAAUUACUGGGCGUAAAGCGCGCGUAGGUGGUUUGUUAAGUUGGAUGUGAAAUCCCCGGGCUCAACCUGGGAACUGCAUUCAAAACUGACUGACUAGAGUAUGGUAGAGGGUGGUGGAAUUUCCUGUGUAGCGGUGAAAUGCGUAGAUAUAGGAAGGAACACCAGUGGCGAAGGCGACCACCUGGACUGAUACUGACACUGAGGUGCGAAAGCGUGGGGAGCAAACAGGAUUAGAUACCCUGGUAGUCCACGCCGUAAACGAUGUCAACUAGCCGUUGGGAGCCUUGAGCUCUUAGUGGCGCAGCUAACGCAUUAAGU